GAUGAACGCUGGCGGCGUGCCUAAUACAUGCAAGUCGAGCGAACAGACGAGGAGCUUGCUCCUCUGACGUUAUCGGCGGACGGGUGAGUAACACGUGGAUAACCUACCUAUAAGACUGGGAUAACUUCGGGAAACCGGAGCUAAUACCGGAUAAUAUAUUGAACCGCAUGGUUCAAUAGUGAAAGACGGUUUUGCUGUCACUUAUAGAUGGAUCCGCGCCGCAUUAGCUAGUUGGUAAGGUAACGGCUUACCAAGGCAACGAUGCGUAGCCGACCUGAGAGGGUGAUCGGACACACUGGAACUGAGACACGGUCCAGACUCCUACGGGAGGCAGCAGUAGGGAAUCUUCCGCAAUGGGCGAAAGCCUGACGGAGCAACGCCGCGUGAGUGAUGAAGGUCUUCGGAUCGUAAAACUCUGUUAUUAGGGAAGAACAAAUGUGUAAGUAACUAUGCACGUCUUGACGGUACCUAAUCAGAAAGCCACGGCUAACUACGUG
rnacentral:rRNA from 1 species